UCUCUAGAGUUAUUCAUUUUUUUGAUAUCUUUUUUGAUUGAAAAGAAUAACAAUAAUUUUAGUGUUUUCUUUUAUUUUCAGAUUAAGUAGAUGACUUUCUUGAAAUAAAAAGGAAAUUAUUGAGUUGACAACAAGAGGGACUUCUGUAUAUUUGUGAUGUCUACAUUCGUGCUCAUCAGACCUACGCAUUCGACUACCGCGUGUUUGUUGGUGAAAAGACUCUAACUGAACAUCUUCACAACUUGAAAGCCAUAUGGAAGGGAUCGUUAAAGAGUUACCAUUGGUUACUAACUUCAGUGUAUUUUGAUAGAAAUGUGUAAAAAAAGAAGUCUAAAGUCUGUGUCUUUUUGUGGACAAUUUUAAUUACAGUUGGG